GCAGUUGGGUUGUCUUUACCCGAGCCCACGCGUAGGCGUGGAAGCGAGGGUAAACAUAGAUAUUAGAGUAAAUGAAAGGGAUAGGAAACUUCCGUUCCCGGGAAAUCAAGCUAUUUACCCUAGAAAGCGGAGGAAUCCGGAUACUAGUAUACUCUAGCUGUUAUUUUCCAUCGCCACAAUGGGCGACUAGCCUGACUAGGCCAUAAUUCGUCCCUUGUAAUAGCAAAAGUAUGCUUCACAAAGACAAGAUGAUGGGCGGAAGACCCAGAAUAACUCAUCUAGAUUCUGUAUCUGAAGUCUCUUUAGUCAUUACUCGUUCAAGCAGUGAGAUAAUGGUACCCAACUAAACGCGGAAAGUUUACUUGUUUUUGAGCAUAAAAUGUCGAGAAAACAAGCUUUUGGAAUUAUUAAAGUUGGAAGACCUAAAGAAAAGAAUUCUUUAAUAGGGGCUUGCUUUAAAUCUUUCAUUUAUAAUAUUGCUUUUGAGAUAAUGGGGACCAAAGAACAAACUAGUACUUUUUUAACUUUUAAUCGCUAAUAAAUGCAAUAGAAGAGCGUAAAUCUUGCUAUUUUUGGCUACAGCAUGAUAGUGGUAUAACAGCUGAUUUCUUUGAAGUAUCAUAUGGCACUGCAAUCACUACUAUGCGAGUGCUAUAGGUGAAAAUCAGUGCUGCAGAGAUGGAGAGAGCAAGUCUGGCCAGGGGUAACUAGCUUAAGUUGCUAAGCAACCUAAUAAUCUCAAUGGAAUAAUCCACCCACGCAACGGAAGUUUCCUAUCCCUUUCAUUUACUCUAAUAUCUAUGGGGUAAAGCAGUCGUCCUGUCAGUGUGUGUGUCCAAGCCAAAUCUGUUUUCAAGCCUCUGCUGCUUUCUAUUUGAGUUCUUAAGAGUCUUAUAAUCAACACUAGAGUUAGGAAAAGAGCAAAAGCUAACAAAGUUGUUAAACUUAGGUCGGCACUCGCACAACUCUCUCAUCGUGAAAGGAAUCAUAGCAAAAAAACUAAUGAAGCAAUAGAACAAAACUUUAUCUUUUAUUAUAAUGUAAGAAAUUGCUCCAAUCAUC